GACAGAGCAAAAAAAACAAGGCAUCAGUAUUGUUGAGUAUUAGCUUGUACCUGGUUCGGAGGCUAAACAGCUCGGAGGUGGCACUCACCACGUCUCUCCUUUCCUCGCUGCACCUUCCAGAUUCCAGGUUUGCCGGAGAAGGCAGGGGUGAGCCACGGUGGCUGCCCGGCUGUGCACCGGCGCCGGAGUUUGGACCAAGACAAAGACAGGAGCUGUCCGCGGUGCUGAAUCGGCGGCGCCGUCGCCGGAGCAAGGGGGCUUCUGUAACCAGCCCUCUGCUCAUUUACUCCCCAUCCUUCUAGCUCCCCUUCGCUCUGUGACUCUUGCCUUCCCCUGAAUUUAUUUCCCUUUUGGGGGACUCACCUUAGAACCUGCGCCCUGUACACAGGUGUAUAUACAUAUAUCAAAGAACAAAACGAUUGAUUGAAAA
rnacentral:lncRNA from 1 species